rnacentral:rRNA from 1 species
CCUACGGGAGGCAGCAGUAGGGAAUAUUGCUCAAUGGGGGAAACCCUGAAGCAGCAACGCCGCGUGGAGGAUGAAGGUUUUCGGAUUGUAAACUCCUUUUGUUAGAGAAGAUAAUGACGGUAUCUAACGAAUAAGCACCGGCUAACUCCGUGCCAGCAGCCGCGGUAAUACGGAGGGUGCAAGCGUUACUCGGAAUCACUGGGGGUAAAGGGCGCGUAGGCGGGAUAUCAAGUCAGAUGUGAAAUCCUAUGGCUUAACCAUAGAACUGCAUUUGAAACUGUUAUUCUAGAGUGUGGGAGAGGUAUGUGGAAUGCUUGGUGUAGCGGUAAAAUGCGUAGAGAUCAAGAGGAAUACUCAUUGCGAAGGCGACCUGCUAGAACAUAACUGACGCUGAGGCGCGAAAGCGUGGGGAGCAAACAGGAUUAGAUACCCGUGUAGUC